GGUCGGUGGUUUGUGGCGUCUCGGACAACCUGUCGGGAAGUAGAUUUUGGUUCUUCCUUUUUCUCUCCCUCUCUUCUGAGUCAGUUGGCGCAAGACGGUUUUGGGUGAAAGAGAAAGGCGCUUUCGGUGAAAGAGACAAGCCUUAGCGUAUUCCCAUUCACAGGUUGACGUUGCUAUUAUUGAAGUUGGUCUUGAAGGCAAAGAAGACUCAACCAAUGUGGGAUGGAUCACGUGGAGGUCUUGGGUGCAUAUCCUCAUGCUUUGCAUUUAGUUGACUUGUAGAUCUGCACUGGCAAUGUGGUGUCUGGCAUGCAAAUAAAAUUAAUUUUGUAUUUUUUUAUUUUUAUCAAUAAAUGUGGAUGUCCAAAACAUGGACAAUAUGUUUUUUUUAAAGUUAAUUUCUUGAAAUUAAGCAUGAGAUACUCUUGCACAGAUAGUUUCACACAAGUCAAGGAUUUCCCUGGUAUGAAACUUAUAUACUCUAUGCAAUCAAA